ACACAGCACAAUGUUGCAGACAGCUGGCUGUCUUAGACAUGUGGCUGCUGUCGAACAAAAAAAAAAGAGAUUGUGGCAGACUACCUCCAUUGGCACGUCAUUGACCGCAACUCCUCUGUAAUUGACAGAUUCAAAGAUGGUCUGUCAGCCCUUGAGUUUCUUGGUGCACUGAAGCAACACCCUGCUUUGCUGACCCCUGUCCUGUGCCACGUCGACAAGAAACUCACUGGCUUAGACCUUGAGAGGGUCUUCAAACCUGAUCUCAGUCCUUCAGGAAGUAACAGAAGACUGAAAGAAAACCAAACAUUGGCCUACUGGGCAGACUAUCUUCUGGAUUGUGAAGAAGGAGAGGCUGCUGUGUCUGUGGAGGACGUGUUGAUGUUUUCAACUGGACUGAGAUCCCUUCCCCCAGCUGGCUUAGACCCACUUCCACAAUUAGAGUUCCUAGAUAACUCGCCAUUUCCAAUGGCAAACACUUGUGGAAAUGUCUUAAAACUACCACUCCUAGAUUCUUACGGAGUGUUUAAGACACAAAUGGACUUUGGAAUGCAAAAUAGUCCAGGAUUUGGCUGUUUUUGACUUCACAACCUAACCCUAGAUCCCUGAGACUAGUUUAAUGUGGGUUUUUUUCAGUUAACAUGAAAAAUAAUGGAUCUAAAACGAUUAGCAUUCUUAUUUGUUUAAUUGCCACUUUGGAAAAUUGAAACUGGGUGUCAAAUUCAGACACUUUGUGUACAUUUACAAUAAACCUGCAAUCAAUUCAGAGCUGAGCAAUUUCUUUUAGUCUAAGAUACAGUUCAGUUGAAGACUGCCAGUGAUCUGGCUUCUGUAAAUUAUUUUGCUCCAUGGCUAAGUCCAAGUACUCCUGCAUGUUUGGGUCCCCACAUGGAGCUCUUGUCAGCUGAGCCUCAGGAAAGGCAUCCAGUUCAGUUUCUUCAAUUUUAAAUCCACAGUCUCUGGAGCCAAACCUGUGUUAAACAGAAUAUUACAUUUAUUAA